AGGGUUGUAAAGCACUUUCAGUAGUGAGGAAAGGUGUAUAGUUAAUAGCAUUACACUGUGACGUUAGCUACAGAAGAAGCACCGGCAAACUCCGUGCCAGCAGCCGCGGUAAUACGGAGGGUGCGAGCGUUAAUCGGAAUUACUGGGCGUAAAGCGCGCGUAGGCGGUUAUUUAAGUGAGGUGUGAAAUCCCUGGGCUCAACCUAGGAACUGCAUUUCAAACUGGAUAACUUGAGUAUGUCAGAGGGUAUUGGAAUUUCCCCGUGUAGCAGUGAAAUGCGUAGAUAUGGGAAGGAACAUCAGUGGCGAAGGCGAAUACCUGGGAUAAUACUGACGCUGAGGUGCGAAAGCGUGGGGAGCAAACGGGAUUAGAUACCCUGGUAG
rnacentral:rRNA from 1 species